rnacentral:rRNA from 1 species
AUUGAACGCUGGCGGCAGGCCUAACACAUGCAAGUCGAGCGGAUGAAGGGAGCUUGCUCCUGGAUUCAGCGGCUGACGGGUGAGUAAUGCCUAGGAAUCUGCCUGGUAGUGGGGGAUAACGUCCGGAAACGGGCGCUAAUACCGCAUACGUCCUGAGGGAGAAAGUGGGGGAUCUUCGGACCUCACGCUAUCAGAUGAGCCUAGGUCGGAUUAGCUAGUUGGUGGGGUAAAGGCCUACCAAGGCGACGAUCCGUAACUGGUCUGAGAGGAUGAUCAGUCACACUGGAACUGAGACACGGUCCAGACGCCUACGGGAGGCAGCAGUGGGGAAUAUUGGACAAUGGGCGAAAGCCUGAUCCAGCCAUGCCGCGUGUGUGAAGAAGGUCUUCGGAUUGUAAAGCACUUUAAGUUGGGAGGAAGGGCAGUAAGUUAAUACCUUGCUGUUUUGACGUUACCAACAGAAUAAGCACCGGCUAACUUCGUG